rnacentral:lncRNA from 1 species
UUACAGAUACACUCCUCGACCCUAUAAGAAUGUAAUGAAUAAAUUUGAUCUUUAAUUUAAAGUAUUUACACUAAUGGAUACCACAAAAUCUUUUUUUAUACUUAAUAGAAGUAUAAUAUUAACUUUAAGUGUUUGUUUAAUCUACUAUUUUGACGCAUUCUACGAAACUUUUUUUAACGAUCCAACCGUCAAACUUAUUUGUACACAUUCCAAGAUUUCAUACAUAAAAAAUUGUAAAAAACAAACAUUCAGAGAUUACGUAACGGAACAAAAGUUAUCAACGGUUAUAAACAAAAAAUCACAAUUUAACGGUUAUUUUAGCUCCGAUUUUGAUGAUUUUUUACAGAUACACUCCUCGACCCUAUAUGAAUGUAAUGAAUAAAUUUUAUCUUUAAUUUAAAGUAUUUACACUAGUGGAUACCACAAAAACUUAUUUUAUACUUAAUAGAAGUAUAAUAUUAACUCUUAAGUGUUUGUUUAAUCUACCGUUUUGACGCACAAUGCAUUCUACGAAACUUUUUUCAACAAUCCAACCGUCAAAAUUAUUUGUACACAUUCCGAGAUUGCAUACGUAAAAAAUCAUAAAAAAUAAAGAUUCAGAGAUUACGUGACGGAACAAAAGUUUUCGAUGGUUAUAAAUGAAAAAUCACAAUUUAACGGUUAUUUUAGCUCCGAUUUUGAUGAUUUUUUACAGAUACACUCCUCGAC